rnacentral:rRNA from 1 species
GACGAACGCUGGUGGCGUGCCUAACACAUGCAAGUCGAACGGGGUGUUCCUUCGGGGGACACUUAGUGGCGAACGGGUGAGUAACGCGUGAGAAACCUGCCUUUCAGUGGGGGACAACAGUUGGAAACGACUGCUAAUACCGCAUAAGCGCACAGUAUCGCAUGGUACGGUGUAGAAAAACUCCGGUGGUAUGAGAUGGACCCGCGUCUGAUUAGCUAGUUGGUGAGGUAACGGCUCACCAAGGCGACGAUCAGUAGCCGGCCUGAGAGGGUGAACGGCCACAUUGGGACUGAGACACGGCCCAAACUCCUACGGGAGGCAGCAGGUGGGGAAUAUUGCACAAUGGGGGAAACCCUGAUGCAGCGACGCCGCGUGAGUGAAGAAGUAUUUCGGUACGUAAAGCUCUAUCAGCAAGGAAGAAAUACCGACCUUUGGUCGCUAGACGGUACUUGACUAAGAAGCCCCGGCUAAUUACGUG